UCUUCAAGCUCCGAACCACCAAGAGGAAUGUGGACGUUUAUGGGGAGAUCGCAUGCUUCCUGAUGGUUAAAGGCUAUUCCAGGGACAGCCAGCAGUGCCGAAUCAAAAUCCUGAUGCAAUCCUACCAGAAGGCGAAGGAGGAUGGCUCCCACACUGCACCAACCUCAGGAGAGCAAUUCCGGGAAUGGACAUGGCAGCUGAUUUCAAGAGCAAUG